GACGAACCACACAAACGUUAUUCGGAAUUACUGGGCUUAAAGGGUGCGUAGGCGGCGCGGAAAGUUGGGUGUGAAAUCCCUCGGCUCAACCGAGGAACUGCGCCCAAAACUACCGUGCUCGAGGGAGAUAGAGGUGAGCGGAACUUAGGGUGGAGCGGUGAAAUGCGUUGAUAUCCUAAGGAACGCCGGUGGCGAAAGCGACGUGCUGGAUCUCUUCUGACGCUGAGGCGCGAAAGCGUGGGGAGCAAACAGG
rnacentral:rRNA from 1 species